AUUGAACGCUGGCGGCAUGCCUUACACAUGCAAGUCGAACGGUAACAGGUCUUCGGAUGCUGACGAGUGGCGAACGGGUGAGUAAUACAUCGGAACGUGCCUAGUAGUGGGGGAUAACUACUCGAAAGAGUGGCUAAUACCGCAUCAGAUCUACGGAUGAAAGCAGGGGAUCGCAAGACCUUGUGCUACUAGAGCGGCCGAUGGCAGAUUAGGUAGUUGGUGGGAUAAAAGCUUACCAAGCCGACGAUCUGUAGCUGGUCUGAGAGGACGAUCAGCCACACUGGGACUGAGACACGGCCCAGACCCCUACGGGAGGCAGCAGUGGGGAAUUUUGAACAAUGGGCGCAAGCCUGAUCCAGCAAUGCCGCGUGCAGGAUGAAGGCCUUCGGGUUGUAAACUGCUUUUGUACGGAACGAAAAGCCCUGGGUUAAUACCCUGGGGUCAUGACGGUACCGUAAGAAUAAGCACCGGCUAACUACGUGCCAGCAGCCGCCGUAAGAC
rnacentral:rRNA from 1 species